GGAAAAGAAACUGGUGGGAUGUUGAGUUGAAAGAAAGCAAAGCAGCCCUACAAAGAGAAGAACAAGAACCAGUAAUUUUGUCUUCUGGUACAGCCAAAAUUUUUGCUCAUUUUCUCACUACUUUUUCCCCAUUAACUUUCUUAGAUUCGAGAAGAUUAGAUUUUCUUGGCAGAUGGGCUGUUGGAAUUUUUCAUUUUGAUCAGAUUCUUUAACUUUUGGUUGCUAAAAUAUUUUCAAAGUUUGUGUUUGCUUUCACUAUUGUUUUUUAUGUGAUUUGUUGCCCUUCAACCUACCUACCUAACCUCACAGUCCAUGGGUUUUUUCAAUUAAUUAAUUUUUUUAAAAAAUUUAAGAUAGCAUAAAGAGGCAGGUUUACUUUUGGCUUCCCUGAAAUUACUGUUUUUUUUUAUAGUCAAAGGCUCAAAGCCUAUGUUUCUCCCUUCCCUCAAAGCUAAUCUUGAGGUUUAUGCCUAUCUGAUUGUCUCCUGAAAUUGCAGGAUUAGCUGUUUAUAUGACCCUUAUUGCUUCUUCUUGACUUCCUUCUAAUUCAGGCCUUAAAAUAUAUCAUACAACCGUUUCUCCAAGACUGAGUUAAUUUAGAGAAUCAUGUCAUUAGUUAGACCUGCAGAGCUUUCUGCCACACCCUACCGAGAUCAUAAGCUCUACUCAUUGAAUGGGAGCAAUGAGAAUUCUGGCUUGUCCACCCAAAUAUUUGGCUCUGAUAAACGAAAGACCAUGUAUAUGACUGAUUCUUACUCUAGUGAGAGUUAUGAGAAGUACUUCAUUGACUCCCCAACAGAAGAACUAAUACGGCCAUCUAGUUCUAGCAUUUCUGGGAAUUCAUUUCACCUACUAGAUGCAUCAUCUUACCAGCCUAGAAUUGGCUCCGGAUCCUCCAUCACUACUCAAGAUCCCUGCAACACUUUUGCAUCAGUGAGACAUUGUGGUACCUACCAGUUAAAUUCUGAAUCAGAUUACUUGGAAAUUCAAAGCCCAGAUCCAGUGGACUAUGAUGCAGAUGAGAUGAGGUUAAAGCUUCAGGAACUCGAGAGAGUACUGCUAGAUGAUAAUGGAGAUGAUGAUGAGGAUGACAUGUUCGGAAAUAGUCAAAGCAUGGAAAUUGAUGGUGAAUGGUCUGAACCAAUCCAGAAUGUGAUGUUCCAUGACUCACCGAAGGAGUCUUCAUCUUCAGAUUCUAACUUGAGUAGCAUUAGCAGUAGCAAAGAAGUGUCACAAUUAUCUCCCCGGGCUCCCAAGCGAUUGCUUUUGAAUUGUGCCAAUGCAAUCGCAGAAGGAAAUUUUGUGGUAGCUGAUGCUUUAAUAAAUGAGCUCCGUCAAAUGGUUUCAAUUCAAGGAGAUCCUCCUCAGAGGAUUGCAGCCUACAUGGUGGAAGGUCUUGCAGCUCGUAUGGCUUCCUCUGGAAAAUAUCUCUAUAAAGCUCUGAAAUGCAAGGAGCCUCCAUCUUCUGAUAGGCUUGCAGCUAUGCAAAUCCUCUUUGAGGUUUGCCCUUGUUUUAAAUUUGGAUUUAUGGCAGCAAAUGGGGCCAUAAUUGAGGCAUUUAAAGGUGAAAAGAGAGUUCAUAUAAUAGAUUUCGACAUAAACCAAGGGAGUCAAUACAUAACACUAAUACAAACACUUGCCAAUCAGCCAGGUAAGCCACCAUACUUGAGGUUAACAGGGGUUGAUGAUCCUGAGUCAGUACAGCGUCCAAUUGGUGGCCUGAAGAUCAUAGGGCAAAGGCUUGAGAAACUAGCAGAAGCAUUUAAGGUGCCAUUUGAAUUCCAUGCAGUAGCAUCUAAGACUUCACUUGUUAGUCCAUCAAUGCUGGACUGCAAGCCUGGAGAAGCACUUGUAAUGAAUUUUGCUUUCCAGCUCCACCACAUGCCUGAUGAAAGUGUAUCAACAGUAAAUGAGAGAGACCAGCUACUUCGAAUGGUUAAGAGCCUAAAUCCAAAACUUGUAACUGUAGUUGAACAAGAUAUGAACACUAAUACCGCCCCCUUUUUCCAAAGAUUUGUCGAAGCGUACAAUUAUUACUCUGCAGUGUUUGACUCCCUUGAUGCAACUCUGCCAAGGGAAAGUCAGGACAGGAUAAAUGUUGAAAAGCAGUGCCUAGCACGGGACAUAGUAAACAUAGUAGCAUGUGAAGGAGACGAAAGGAUUGAGCGAUAUGAAGUUGCAGGCAAAUGGAGAGCAAGAAUGAUGAUGGCUGGCUUCACUUCAUGUUCAAUGGGUCCUAAUGUGGUAGAUAUGAUUCGCAAACUCAUAAAGCAGUACUGUGAUAGAUACACGUUGAAGGAAGAAAUGGGUGCACUGCUUUUUGGGUGGGAAGACAAAAGCUUGAUUGUUUCUUCAGCAUGGAGGUGAACAGAAUCAUUUGGUCACUGCAAAAUCAUUCAGCAGAACUUCAACUUAUGUUUAGUAGAUGUAUUUAUAUUUUUGUGUGGGAUCAAGAUGCAUGCUAAUGUCCGUUCUUAUUAGACCAAAACAAGGACUUCCUAAUGUUGUGCAAAGUAAUGCAGGGGGAUUGCUAAUUACCUAACAAUAUCAAAUUCUCUUAAUCUCUUGUUGCCUUGCACACUAUUCUUUGUUUCAUUUUUAUUUUCAUGAUCAUUAUUUUGUGGAUACAGAUGCAUGCCACUUAUCUUCAGAGUUUGCGUUGGACUUGAUUUUAGCAUUAUUAUCAAUAAAC
rnacentral:misc_RNA from 1 species